UAGGUUGCUGUGCUUUGACUUUCCUG
rnacentral:piRNA from 1 species